rnacentral:rRNA from 1 species
UACGUAGGGUGCGAGCGUUAAUCGGAAUUACUGGGCGUAGAGGGUGCGUAGGCGGUUCGUUAAGUCUGUCGUGAAAUCCCCGGGCUCAACCUGGGAAUGGCGGUGGAUACUGGGCAGCUAGAGUGUGUCAGAGGAUGGUGGAAUUCCCGGUGUAGCGGUGAAAUGCGUAGAGAUCGGGAGGAACAUCAGUGGCGAAGGCGGCCAUCUGGGACAACACUGACGCUGAAGCACGAAAGCGUGGGGAGCAAACAGG